rnacentral:rRNA from 1 species
AACCAGGAUUCCCCUAGUAACGGCGAGUGAAGAGGGAAAAGCCCAGCACCGAAGCCUGCGGCAGUUUUGCUGUUAAGCAAUGUGGUGUUUGGGUCGGCUCGUGGGAUCGCCACUCCACUCGAAGUCCAGCAUUGAGUAUGGUUACUGGAUUUGGCCCAGAGAGGGUGAAAGGCCCGUACGGGUGGAGGUUCAGACAUGUGAGGCGGUUCACCAGGUCGACCUUAGAGUCGGGUUGUUUGGGAAUGCAGCCCAAAGUGGGUGGUAAACUCCAUCCAAGGCUAAAUACAAGCACGAGUCCGAUAGCGAACAAGUACCGUGAGGGAAAGUUGAAAAGUACUCUGAAGAGAGAGUAAACAGUACGUGAAACCGCAUGCAGGUAAACGGGUGGCGUCAAGCUGCAAGCCCAGAGGAUUCAGCCGACUAGGAUGUAGUGUAUGCGCCUGGCGCAUCUAUCAGCCAGAGUAGGAUCGUAUGGUCCACUAGGAUAUAGUGGGCCCGUCGUCCUUGUGGCGGCGGGAUGCGUGUACCGGGUGGGUGCCGGAACGUGCUAUACGUUUGAGGGCUGUCUAGUCGGUGCACUUUCUCUGUGGUGAACACCACGACCGGUGGUAUUGCCAGUCUGCUGUGUCCAAGUUGUGCUCGGUAGGUCGUCAUGGCCAAUCGGGUGCAGCGAUCACACGCAAACUCAGUAAACGGCGUAGAGGUGUUUCGGCAUUUCUGCGUGUUAUCGGCUACUGGUUGUGAACGGGCCUGCUCGGGCUUGUUGUAGUUGGCAUCGGGUGGCUCGGUGGGACACGGUGGUAAGAAUAACUGUGCAAGGCACCGGAGUUCGCGGCCUCAAAUGCAUUCUGCGCCCAGGCUACAACUGGUUUGUGGGUGGCGCCGUUGCUGUCUGCCCGGUCUUGUUGGGUCUGAUCGUCGUGUUGUCUGCGUAAAGUGGACCCGGCGGUGGCUCGACUCGGGAUGGGCAGUUGGCGGUGUUGCCAGUGCAGAGUGCUGUGGGCCCAAUAGUCAGUGGUGUAGUGGUAGACGAGCUACCCGACCCGUCUUGAAACACGGACCAAGGAGUUUAACGUGUAUGCGAGUCAAUGGGCCCUACGAAACCCAAAGGCGCAGUGAAAGUGAAGCCCCGACUUGUCUCGGGGUGAGGUGAGAUCCUGCUGUUACUCGCAUCAGUCUAAUGUGUCAGCAUCAGGCUAAGAGCAGUGGGCGCAUCACCGGCCCGUCCCAUGACGUGGUCAUUGGAAGUCUGCGGCGGCGGCGGCGGCGGCGGCAACUCUUGCUUGUCUUGUCGUCUUCGUCGUGGUGCCAGUGCGUCGUCGGGGCGGUGCAUGAGCAUACACGUUGAGACCCGAAAGAUGGUGAACUAUGCUUGCGUAGGUUGAAGCCAGAGGAAACUCUGGUGGAGGACCGCAGCGAUUCUGACGUGCAAAUCGAUCGUCAAACGUGAGCAUAGGGGCGAA